GAAAGAGGCCAGAGGCAGUAAGGACUGCUAAUUCUUAUUUCCACAGUUAAAUUCCGUGGCUCAUUCA
rnacentral:tRNA from 1 species